ACUUCUGACGUUAGCGGCGAACGGGUGAGUAACACGUAAGGAAUCUACCUAUAAGCGGGGGAUAACAUUCGGAAACGGGUGCUAAUACCGCAUAAUAUCUUCUUCCGCAUGGAAGAAGAUUGAAAGACGGCUCUGCUGUCACUUAUAGAUGACCUUGCGGUGCAUUAGUUAGUUGGUGGGGUAACGGCCUACCAAGACGAUGAUGCAUAGCCGACCUGAGAGGGUGAUCGGCCACAUUGGGACUGAGACACGGCCCAAACUCCUACGGGAGGCAGCAGUAGGGAAUCUUCCGCAAUGGGCGAAAGCCUGACGGAGCAAUGCCGCGUGAGUGAAGAAGGCCUUCGGGUCGUAAAACUCUGUUAUAAGAGAAGAACAAAUUGUAGAGUAACUGCUACAGUCUUGACGGUAUCUUAUCAGAAAGCCACGGCUAACUACGUGCCAGCAGCCGCGGUAAUACGUAGGUGGCAAGCGUUGUCCGGAUUUAUUGGGCGUAAAGGGAGCGCAGGUGGUUUCUUAAGUCUGAUGUGAAAGCCCACGGCUUAACCGUGGAGGGUCAUU
rnacentral:rRNA from 1 species